GACGAACGCUGGCGGCGUGCUUAACACAUGCAGUCGAACGGUNACAGGAAGCAGCUUGCUGGUUCGCUGACGAGUGGNGGACGGNGGAGUAAUGUCUGGNNAACUGCCUGAUGGAGGGGGAUAACUACUGGGAACGGUAGCUAAUACCCGCAUAACGUCCCCAGAACCAAGAGGGGGGACCUUCGGGCCUCCUUGCCCUUCGGAUGUGCCCAGAUGGGAUUAGCUAUUUAGGUGGGGGUAACGGCUCACCUAGGCGAACAUCCCUAGCUGGUCUGAGAGGAUGACCAGCCACACUGGAACUGAGACACGGUCCAGACUCCUACGGGAGGCAGCAGUGGGGGAAUAUUGCACCAAUGGGCGCAAGCCUGAUGCAGCCAUGCCGCGUGGUAUGAAGAAAGGCCUUCGGGUUGUAAAGUACUUUCAGCGGGGAGGAAAGGGAGUAAAGUUAAUACCUUUGCUCAUUGACGUUACCCGCAGAAGAAGCACCGGCUAACUCCGUGCCAGCAGCCGCGGUAAUANCGGAGGGUGCCAAGCGUUAAUCGGAAUUACUGGGCGGUAAAAGCGCACGCCAGGCGGUUUGUUAAGUCAGAUGUGAAAAUCCCCGGGGCUUCAACCCUGGGAACUGCAUCUGAUACUGGGCAAGCUUGAGUCUCGUAGAGGGGGGGUAGAAUUUCCAGGUGUAGCGGUGAAAUGCGUAGAGAUCUGGAGGAAUACCGGUGGCGAAGGCGGCCCCCUGGACGAAGACUGACGCUCAAGUGCGAAAGCGUGGGGAGCAAACAGGAUUAGAUACCCUGGUAGUCCACGCCGUAACGAUGUCGACUUGGAGGUUGUGGCCCUUGAAGGCGUGGCUUCCGGAGCUAACGCCGUUAAGUCGACC
rnacentral:rRNA from 1 species